UGUGUAAGCGCAGCGAUGCGUUGAGCUAACCGGUACUAAUGACCCGUGAGGCUUAACCUUACAACGCCAGAGGCGUUUUG
rnacentral:rRNA from 2 species